rnacentral:rRNA from 1 species
UGAGGAAUAUUGGGCAAUGCCCGCAAGGGUGACCCAGCAACGCCGCGUGGAGGAUGAAUGUCGUAAGAUUGUAAACUCCUGUUAGAGGGGAAGAAUAGUACCGGUUGGACCGGUAUGUGACUGUACCCUCAGAGAAAGCCCCGGCUAACUACGUGCCAGCAGCCGCGGUAAUACGUAGGGGGCAAGCGUUGUCCGGAUUUACUGGGGGUAAAGGGCGCGCAGGCGGGAUAAAAAGUCAGUGGUGAAAUCCUACAGCUUAACUGUAGAACUGCCUUUGAUACUUUUAUUCUUGAGUUCGGGAGAGAGAGACGGAAUUCCAGGUGUAGUGGUGAAAUACGUAGAUAUCUGGAAGAACACCAGUUGCGAAGGCGGUCUCUUGGUCCGACACUGACGCUGAGGCGCGAAAGCGUGGGGAGCAAACA